GACGAACGCUGGCGGCGUGCCUAAUACAUGCAAGUCGAGCGAAGUUUUUUGGUGCUUGCACUAGAAAAACUUAGCGGCGAACGGGUGAGUAACACGUAAAGAACCUGCCUCAUAGACUGGGACAACUAUUGGAAACGAUAGCUAAUACCGGAUAACAGCAUUAACUGCAUGGUUGAUGUUUGAAAGUUGGUUAUGCUAACACUAUGAGAUGGCUUUGCGGCGCAUUAGCUAGUUGGUGGGGUAAAGGCCUACCAAGGCGACGAUGCAUAGCCGACCUGAGAGGGUGAUCGGCCACACGGGACUGAGACACGGCCCAGACUCCUACGGGAGGCAGCAGUAGGGAAUCUUCCGCAAUGGGCGAAAGCCUGACGGAGCAACGCCGCGUGAGUGAAGAAGGAUUUCGGUUCGUAAAGCUCUGUUGUUAGGGAAGAAUGGAUAUGUAGAACUAUACA
rnacentral:rRNA from 1 species